rnacentral:lncRNA from 1 species
CGACACUUGUACUGUUCAAACGGUGUUAGUGACAAAAUUGACGGAAAUGACUAACUUGAAACCUAAAAUAAACGUAAGGGACCAAAUUGACGUAAGAGACCAAAUUGAAACCUAAAAUAAACGUAAGGGACCAAAUGUGUAGUUAAGCCUAAUAUCAAAUUUUCACUCAGCUUUUUAAUCGGUGUCUGAGAAUAAAGCGAUAUCCCAUAGGCUUCACAAAUAUUAAAGCAGGCCUGAUCAGGAUUUCUUGGACGUGUGAGUUUUGUAAUACUUCAUUAACAAUUAUUGGCUCUAGUUAAAUCUGGUUUGUUCAUUGAAGUGUUUGGUAUUCAACUAUUCAUUUUUCAGGCUUUGAUCGCGUGUGUAACGUAUCAUGAACCUCUUUUAUGCAUAUUAGAACAACCUAGUAUUCAACGAUGAAGCGUCGAGAGCAACAGUAGACCAAUGCUCCAAGAUCACAAAAGACGAAGACACCACAUCUCCAUUGAAACCUUACAACAUUGGGUACAAAGGUCAUCUCUCUUAUAUAUCUAAUUUUUUGUCCAUUCAUUUGUGAGACUUAAUCAUUCGCAUUUGAAACCCAACACUUUUAGGUUUUAAUUUGUAAUGAUUAUUUUGAUAUGAAGUAAUGGUA